rnacentral:rRNA from 1 species
GUUUGUUACGUCGGAUGUGAAAACCUGAGGCUCAACCUCAGGCCUGCAUUCGAUACGGGCAAACUAGAGUUUGGUAGGGGAGACUGGAAUUCCUGGUGUAGCGGUGGAAUGCGCAGAUAUCAGGAGGAACACCAAUGGCGAAGGCAGGUCUCUGGGCCAAUACUGACACUGAGGAGCGAAAGUCUGGGGAGCAAACAGGAUUAGAUACCCUGGUAGUCCAGACCGUAAACGGUGGGCACUAGUUGUGGGAACCUUCCACGGUUUCUGCGACGCAGCUAACGCAUUAAGUGCCCCGCCUGGGGAGUACGAUCGCAAGAUUAAAACUCAAAGGAAUUGACGGGGCCCCGCACAAGCAGCGGAGCAUGCGGCUUAAUUCGACGCAACGCGAAGAACCUUACCAAGGCUUGACAUAUAGGGAAAAGUGGCAGAGAUGUCAUGUCCGCAAGGGCUCUAUACAGGUGGUGCAUGGUUGUCGUCAGCUCGUGUCGUGAGAUGUUGGGUUAAGUCCCGCAACGAGCGCAACCCUCGUUCUGUGUUGCCAGCAUUUAGUUGGGGACUCACAGGAGACUGCCGGGGUUAACUCGGAGGGAGGUGGGGAUGACGUCAAAUCAUCAUGCCCCUUAUGUCUUGGGCUGCACGCAUGCUACAAUGGCCGGUACAGAGGGCUGCAAUACCGCAAGGUGGAGCGAAUCCCAAAAAGCCGGUCUCAGUUCGGAUUGAGGUCUGCAACUCGACCUCAUGAAGUUGGAGUUG